GGAGAAAUGGCUCAGUGAUUAAGAGCACUUACUAGUCUUCCAGAGGACCUGGGUUCAAUUCCCAGCUCCC
rnacentral:tRNA from 1 species